rnacentral:rRNA from 1 species
AUUGAACGCUGGCGGCAGGCCUAACACAUGCAAGUCGAGCGAGCGGCGGACGGGUGAGUAAUGUAUGGGGACUGCCUGAUAGAGGGGGAUAACUACUGGAAACGGUGGCUAAUACCGCAUACUAUCGGAUAACCCAUAUGGGAUUAGCUAGUAGGUGGGGUAAAGGCUCACCUAGGCGACGAUCCCUAGCUGGUCUGAGAGGAUGAUCAGCCACACUGGAACUGAGACACGGCCCAGACUCCUACGGAGGCAGCAGUAGGGAAUCUUCGGCAAUGGGCGAAAGUCUGAUCGAGCCACGCCGCGUGAGUGAAGAAGGUUUUCGGAUCGUAAAGCUCUUUUGUUAGAGAAGCGUUAUCUACCCAGAAAGCCACGGCUAACUACGUGCCAGCAGCCGCGGUAAUAC